CUUGCCUCACAAACAGCACUUGGAACUAAUGUGCUACAAGUAAUGAUGUUUCCCAGGGUGUAGCUACAGCGGGGAAGAGAUUUUUUGCAGUAAGAAAAAUGGCAAAAGUAGUGAUGGAAAAAAACCAAGGGAAGGUUACAUGUGGAGAACAACAUACAUUGACUAAGAUAAAUGUUGCUGAUUUAUCUAUAAGCUGGAGAGGGCUUCAUCUACUGAUUUCAGUAGAUCAUCAGAGAAGUGAGAAAAGGCACUUGCUCAGAUAUGGGGAGCUGCAUGAAGGCGCCACUAUGACAACUCACAUUUUCAAGAGAAUGCAAUUAAAUAAAAGCUGAUGGGGAACACGACAAGAGUAACAAGGACAUGGAGAAACUCAGACUAAUAGAAGAUCUGGACACAAGAUUAGAAAUCUAUUGUGAAGCUUUCUCUUUACCCAUAAGAAGGAAAUUGCUCUAAGAAACAGAAAAUCUGUUAAGGAAACUCCUUUUGCAUUAUGAAAGUUAUGUUUUUUUGAUGUGCUUAUGUUGUACAAGUGUAACACUCAUGCAAACAUCACCACACUGAACCAGGGAGCCCUGGCAUCACCUAAGACUGGGCAGAUAUGUAAUAUCUGUCAUCGAAAUCCCAGUGCAUACCUCCUAGCUUGAGAGCACUCCCUACUACACAUCCCUCUAUUAGUGCAAUGCUACAAAAGUGCUUAUCCAAAGACCUCUCACAGCUGAACAUUUUGGCCACAAUGUUCCUAAAUUUUACCCUUGACUUAUACAUGGGUCAUAUCAAAAUCCAUAACGUUGGCCCCAAAACCUGCCCCCAAAUUGUAUCUGAGGUCGACUUAUAGUUUAGUAUAUAUGGUAAACUGAAAACUAAGGGAGAAAGUAGGAGGAGGAGCUUGAAACUGUUUUAAAAUGUUUUUAAAAUAACGGAAAAGAUGUAAUAGCAGAGGAUUAAUUUUGACUGUCCCUGCUCUAUUGGGACAGUAGGACAUGCAUAUUUGGUACUGGACAUGCAGAUGUAACAACUGCUUUAAGUUCAGGAGGUUGGCAGAAAGAAUGGAUAUAAAAAGGAAACACACACAUA